UGGGGAAUAUUGCACAAUGGGGGAAACCCUGAUGCAGCGACGCCGCGUGAAGGAAGAAGUAUUUCGGUAUGUAAACUUCUAUCAGCAGGGAAGAAAAUGACGGUACCUGAGUAAGAAGCCCCGGCUAACUACGUGCCAGCAGCCGCGGUAAUACGUAGGGGGCAAGCGUUAUCCGGAUUUACUGGGUGUAAAGGGAGCGUAGACGGUAAUGUAAGUCUGAUGUGAAAGCCCGGGGCUCAACCCCGGGACUGCAUUGGAAACUAUGUAACUAGAGUACCGGAGAGGUAAGCGGAAUUCCUAGUGUAGCGGUGAAAUGCGUAGAUAUUAGGAGGAACACCAGUGGCGAAGGCGGCUUACUGGACGGAAACUGACGUUGAGGCACGAAAGCGUGGGUAUCGAACAGG
rnacentral:rRNA from 1 species